rnacentral:rRNA from 1 species
UACGGAGGGUGCAAGCGUUAUCCGGAUUCACUGGGUUUAAAGGGUGCGUAGGUGGUUUUGUAAGUCAGUGGUGAAAGCCUGCAGCUUAACUGUAGAAUUGCCAUUGAUACUGCUUAACUUGAAUCAAGUCGAGGUGGAUGGAAUAAAUCAUGUAGCGGUGAAAUGCUUAGAUAUGAUUUAGAACACCGAUUGCGAAGGCAGUUCACUAGGCUUGUAUUGACACUGAGGCACGAAAGCGUGGGGAUCAAACAGG